rnacentral:tRNA from 1 species
GACGGAGUAGCUCAGUCUGGUAGAGCAAGCGGCUCAUACCCGCUAUGUCGCUGGUUCAAAUCCAGCCUUCGUCACCA